AUCAUUUCUUGAUUUCUCGUCACCCUGAAGAGGCUGAUCUCCAGGUAUCUGAAGAUGUGGAGGAGGGGUCUUCUGGACAUUAUCAGAAUAUCGCCAUCGCCCUUUGGGGGAUCAUUUCUUGAUUUCUCGUCACCCUGAAGAGGCUGAUCUCCAUGUAUCUGAAGAUGUGGAGGAGGGGUCUUCUGGACAUUAUCAGAAUCAGAGCCUUUUCCCUCUGUCUUUGAUGAAUCUGCUGAAUCUUUGUUCAACGUGGGUCCCGAACAUGUAUUCCCCAUCAAUCAAUUAACAUAAACAUAAAGAGAUAUUGCUCAUCAGACAAAUCAAAAUCUCAA
rnacentral:lncRNA from 1 species